rnacentral:lncRNA from 1 species
UAGCAUGCACGUAGGUAACCAAGUUUUUUCAAUGCUUUGUUGCAAGUUGUUAGAAUAUGUUCUGACCAGGAUAACCUUGGAGUGAAAAGGAGGCCUAAAUACUUAUAUUCAUAUG